CACUUUAGUCCCCUGGACAAUCUCUGGCUUAAUGUGGAAUCUCAGAACUUGGAGAGUGAUAAAAUUAGAAUCUAACUGAGGCGAUUUCUGACCAAAGCUUUGAAGAAGUAGCUCGGUUCCUCCUGGAUGCUAUGGUAAAAUUCAAAAAGGGAAACAUGAAUUGAAGAUAGAACUGAUAUCCAAAAAACAACCAGACUUCAAAGAUUUGGAAAACCCUCCCAUAUUACAAAAAAUGAGAAAGCAUGUUUGGAAGAGAACAGUAAGGAUGUGAUGGAUCUAUUACAUUAGUGCUGGUGUGAACUGGGGACCUAAUCAGCCAUCCCAGCAGGGACACUGCCAGUUUCCAUGGAAGGGGAUGAAAGGCUGGUGCCCUUCUUGGAUUUCACAGGACAUCACCACCGAGUUAUUUGACUAUGAACCUACCCUAUUCUUCAAGACAAGAGAUGAAUGACCCAAAAGGCAAUUCAGAGAUUGUCAGGGCUGCCUCCACUGUUUCAAAAGGGGAAGGCAUCACCUUGAUUUCAACUGGCCAGAGGGCUGCCUGGGGCAUUGGAGUGGGACCUUCACCUGACAGAGCUGUGGCUGCAGGCCCUCCAACCCAGUGUGUCUAGAAGACAGAGCAUUGAGCCAAUGAGGAGUAUUCUCAAGCCCUAAGAUUUCAUGAAGUUUGCUUUGCCAGAGACCAGAGUCUACUUCGUAAGGACACAAGGAGGGGGCUUCCUGUCUGCAAACCAGGAAGUGGUCUUUCCCUAGACACUGCAUCUGCUGGCACCUCAAUCUUGGAUUUCCCAGCCUCCAGAACUAUUACAUGCACUGUAAAGCUGGAUCGCGUUCUCCUGGCCGCUUCACAGAGGACGUUCUGUGUCCAAGGGGCUUGUGAAGGAGGAAAAACAAAACAGCUUGUGAACUCACCUCUCUUUCUGCAGAGCAGCUGGGCCUGGGUUCCAGGUCCACAGAGACAAUUUAUCGAUGCUUAAUCCCAAAUCUUGUCUGCUGUUCCCAUUGCUACAGACUGCUGUUAAGAUAUUGAGAGCCCCAUUAAUGUCUGGGUGAAAGUCAACCGG